rnacentral:lncRNA from 1 species
CUAUGUGGACUUUGCUGCUGAGUCAGUGUGAGACCUUGAACAAGUCUCUGUUUGUUUCGUACCAUUCAGAUUUCCUCGUCUGUAAACAUUAAGUAUCUACAUUCACUAAAAGUAGUUCUGAAUGAAUGUUAUUUAAUGGUGCCAAUGAUGUUGGAGGAUACCUGUGCAUCUCAUGCUGUGGUUACAGCAUCAAUUGUGAUGAAUAUAGGAUACUGAGUCCCUCCUAGAAAUGACUUCAGGAACUUCACCCCCCAACUCCACAAUCUGGGAAUGGCAGACAGAUUCAGCACCAGGAGAACAUCACAUAAAGGACAAGUGUGUAUGUUUAAAAAUGGCAAGUUUCGGCCUGGCAUGGUGGCUCACGUCUAUAAUCCCAGCACUUUGGGAGGCUGAGUCUAAGUGUACAGUGCUUGUAAAGUCUGCAGUAGCAUACAGUAAUGUCCAAGGCUUUCACAUCCACUCACCACUCGCUCACUGACCCAGCCAGAGCAACUUCCAGUCCUGAAAGCUGCAUUCAUGACUCAAUCACCACAAUUGCAAUCAAAAGACGGCUUUAGUUGGAACCUGGAACGUGCUAAUCCUGUCAGGCAGCCUGUGAUUCUGGAAGUGAAGGAACAAAAAAAAAAAAAAAAAGGGAAAAUUUCACAUAAAAUUUCCAUAUGAGGAAGAAGAUGGAAACUUUUGUGUUGUGCGUUCAGUAAAACGGGCACUUUCUUAAGCAGGUGGCAAAGAAAGCCUGAGAAUCCGGCCUGACUUUUUCAUUUCAGAACCCUGCAUUUCCCACACAGAGGAGAUAGAGCACAGCCAUUGCAUGGUAGAUCCAGCUUGCUCUCACAGCCAUUGUGCAAAUAAACAUACAUGUGGCAAGGCAGUGCAGUUUUCAGUUGUUAAAAGUUCUGUCAUGCCACGAGAUGGAGCAAAGGAUAAACGCUGAUGUAAACAGGCAACAGGACUCUGACUCCACACCCCUGUCUGCACGGAGGAUGCUCAGUCCUUACACAACAAAAUGUGAGAUGCUUCCAGUCACCUCCUGGCCCUGACCCCUGAGCUCCGUGCUCACCCCACUGGAGGUCCUGGCAGUUCUCCGAGCAGGCUGUACCUGUCUGGGGUGAUCCUCUCCACUUAAUGUUAGACAUUAAGUUCCCUGUGAAAUCUGUUUUGACUCACUGAGGUUAUGAAUAUUUUAUCACAACUAUCAUCAUAUACUACCAAAUCUCCAAUUUUCUUAUCUCCAUUACUAGACUGUGAGCUCCCUGGAGGCUGGACCUGGGUUUGGCACCGAGUGGCACUCAUACAUACUUCUUGAAUAAGAGAAUGUAUGUACACAGUGGCAUGAAAUUGAUUUGAAUUUGUUGGUUUUCUUAAGUGCUAAAGUUGUAGACAGUUCAGUAAAAACUAUAAAGCGGUUACCCUGUAAACCAUGAGUACUAUUAAUUGGAACCUCCUUUCUUACAUAUCCACUUGUGUUUCUGUUAAUGUUUCCAAAAUAAAUAAAGAGCAGGCUAGAGGGAAACCUCCAGUCCUUAGAAACCACGGCACAAGAAUACAUCUGUAUUUGCACUCUGAGCAAGAGACUUCCUGUUGUUGUGUAUGUUUCAUUAAGAGAUCUGGGAAAAAUUAGCCUUGUACCAGGAUCUGAACUAUAGUUUGAAAGUGUUUAGUGGGUACCAAUGUUAAUGGCAUCAUUUUUGAAUGAUAUACAGGAUAUUUUUAAACACUUUCCUUCUGUUCCAUUUUUACACUUUCAUUAUGUUUGCCAGCAUUGGGCAGUUGGUUGCAUUUACUGAAGUUUGAAUAAAAAAAUCUAAGAUGAGUUACCAAAACACCUGCUAAACUCAUCUUGCAAGAUUGGUCAAUAAUAAUUUUUAUAUUAGAGUCUCCCCUCUCUAUAGACCUUCAAUAAUUAUUUUUAACAUCUGUUUUUCACUUCCAGUGUUAUUUUAAUUUUACUUCUAUAUAGGUUUCUAUGGAUGUCAGAUGUUCCAAAAUGAUUUUUAGUUGUCAUAAGCAAAAUUGUUGUCAUUUUGAUAAAAUUCCAACAGUGGAUUCCAAUUUGUUCAUUCAAAAAUAACAUAAAUUGCUGGCAAAAGUCAGUAGAAGAUAUUAUAUUUAUAUUUACAUGGAUUAAGCUGCCAGGAGUGCUAUCAGAAAAUUUAAAUUAACAUGGAAUGGGAUGAAAUUUCCCCAAGUCAAAGAUACCAACAGAGAGGCAAAGAGAGGUGGUCAGUGGUUAAAGACAGAUGAGCAAUUAAGGUACUUUCUUCUUAAUAAAGAUUGAGUUUGUACUUUGUCUUCUUGAAGUCUGGCAGAACAUUUCACAGUAGUGGUUGGUGUUUGUAGUUUUGGAUUUCCAUAUUUGAAAACUAUACAGUACCUCCAUCAGAUUUGUUGUAAUGGAUCCAAAUUUGGAAAGUUCUUUACAUAUUUAAAAUGAUACAUGAGUGGUUCCAGAUUCUCCAUGGGCCUGAUUUCUGGCUGACCAAGGGAAUCUCUAUUUGUGUCCUUCUCAGGGCUUAGAUGCCUGCUGUGCUCACUCCUGCCGAGAGGCACGGCCACCAUCUGCAGCUCCUGGCUGCACUUUCUAAACAGCUGCCUGGGUCAGUUCUUUUGACUAAGAUAUAGCCGAGUUGUACAGUUUACAAAUGAAUGGAAAAUCAUCACCCUACCAAGUCUUAAAUGGUUAUGACUCCAUCACUCAAGAAACUUCAGGAAUCAACAUUUGGUGAUCUGAAAUACACUGAAGCGUCCACGUAGUGAUGUUUGUGUGUUAGAUUCUGCUCCAUUUUCCAAUGUCUUCCCCCAUUUUCAGUCAACUCUUCAUCUCUGCAGUGGUGGCUUUAAAACAUGUCUACAAAUGCCUUGACCGUCUUUCCAGUGGGAGGCAGAGUCUAACUCCCUGUCCCCCGAAUGUGGGCUGGCCUUUGGGAAGAAAAGAAUAAGGUUGAAGUGAUGCUGCCCAACUUCUAAACCCAGUUCCUAAAAGGAAACCUGGAUUAGAAGCAUGUGCUGCUCUCAGACCUGGCCUACAGAGAAGAACUGACACAGACUUCCUUAGAUGUGUUGUCUUCCUGUCACUGGUGCAUUCCUUAUCAAUGUGGCUGGAGUGUAGUGGUGCAAUCACAGCUCACUGGAUCUUUGAAUCCCUGGGCUCAAGAG